rnacentral:rRNA from 1 species
UACGUAGGGGGCAAGCGUUGUUCGGAAUCACUGGGCUUAAAGGGCGCGUAGGCGGACUGCCGCGUCCGGGGUGAAAUCCUCCGGCUCAACCGGGGAAGGGCCUCGGAUACGGGCGGUCUGGAGUGGGGUAGGGGCGUGCGGAACUGUGGGUGGAGCGGUGAAAUGCGUUGAGAUCCACAGGAACUCCGGUGGCGAAGGCGGCACGCUGGACCCUUUCUGACGCUGAGGCGCGAAAGCCAGGGGAGCGAACGGG